rnacentral:rRNA from 1 species
UACGAAGGGAGCUAGCGUUGUUCGGAAUCACUGGGCGUAAAGCGCACGUAGGCGGAUGUGUCAGUCAGGGGUGAAAUCCCGGAGCUCAACUUCGGAACUGCCUUUGAUACAGCACGUCUUGAGUCCGAUAGAGGUGGGUGGAAUUCCUAGUGUAGAGGUGAAAUUCGUAGAUAUUAGGAAGAACACCGGUGGCGAAGGCGGCCACUGGAUCGGUACUGACGCUGAGGUGCGAAAGCGUGGGUAGCGAACAGG